AGGGAAAACAGCCUAUUUUCUAGGCUGCUGGUAAUAAUUUCAGGGAACAGAUCAGUCCCAAAUGAUAAAGUCAUCAGGAAAAAGAAAAAAAAAAAAAACCUAAGAAAAAAAAGAAAAAAAAAAGAAUAUUGCUCUCUGGAAGAUCUGAGUUAGUCUUUUAGAGAAUUGAUUCUGUAACCAAUAUCUCUUACGGUGAUGGAGGACUUUGUUUUCUUUGUUUCAGAUUUAUUAGAAAAAAAUAUAAUGAGAACUUAAAAUUCAAGGUUUUGGAGGCAGAGGAUUUGCUAUUUUUUAAUCAGAAUGAAAAAGAAAGGAUCUAGAUUUAGAAAAAUUAUUCUAAUUACUUUAAUUGUAGUAACUCUAAAUUAGACCUUAAGUGUCUGAAAUCAUAUUCUUUUUCAAUAGUGUUGCAUAGGUACAACUUCAGGAUGAAAUGAUUUUAAAGAAAGCAUUCCACGCGGAUGGAACAGAAGCUGUGGUCUCCAAAGAAGAGGCAUCCUGAGCCAUCCUGAAACAGGGGAAGAACUGACAAUAGCAUCCCUUCUCCUUGCUAUCUCUUGCUGAUCUCAUCUUUCAACUUCACUAGAGCUGAUUUCACAGAGGAGAAAUCUGAUAGCCAAAACAUCAGAGGCAGAUAUUGGUGGUAUGUCAGUAGAGGCUGAACCUGCCCAACAGUACUCCAUUCCAUGUUGUUGCUGUGUGACAGAUGGCAGCAGAGGGGCCUGACAAAAUGGCGUCUGACAUGGAAAUGUGUGCAAAGCAAAGGUGUGUCAUUGAAUUCCUCCAUGCAGAAACAGUGGCACCCACUGACAUUCAUGGACGCUUGCUGAACGUUUAUGGAGACCAAACAGUGGAUGUGAGCACAAUGAAGGGGUGGGUGGUGUGUUUCAGCUUGGACGUGGCAACAAAAGCAGUGGGUUGCCUCUGCUGGUGCAGUAUUUUAUCUGUGCAACACAUAGGCUCUUGUUCCUUGCUGGCAAAGAUGCACAGGUAAUGGUGGUGACUAUGUUGAAAAAUCAUGUUUUGUAGCUGAAAAUUUGCUCUACCAAAUAGUGUUAUUUUGCUCUUUGUAUCUGCUGUAGUUUCCAAAAAAAUAAGAAGGAGGCAUUACUUUCGGAGCGACCAACAUACCAUUCUUCCAGCACUUCGCAGAGUCGCACAAUGGCUUUUGGGUCGGAAGGGACCUUAAAGAUCACCCCGUUUCCUGGGCCCCUUCCCGAUUUUCCUCAUAGCCGGCAGCUAGCGGGCAGGUCCCGCCUCAGGCCGGCAGACGCGACAAGCUCGGCAGCCUUAUGAAGCUAAAAAUGCACAUAUAUAUAUAUAUAUUCGUAUAU
ensembl:lncRNA